GAAUCCGAGCGUGGGUCCAGGGCCGGGAAGAAAAGAAAGUCACCCAGGACUACAAUUCCCACAAUGCACUUCAUGGGCUUCUCUCGACGUGUGCUCUUGGAAAACGUAGUACAUUGUGGGGCAAGAUUUAAAAAUGCAGGAGGGAGGUGGGAGGGCCAAAGUCAGAGAGAGAAGAGGAGAUGCUAUUUCUGAAAGAGGACCAUGAACCAAAGGAUGCAGAUAGACUCUAGAAGCUAGAAACAGCAAAGAAUGGAUUAUCCCUGGAGCCUCUGGAAGGAACACAGCCCUGCCAACUUUGUGAUUUUGGCCUUGGAAGGUCCAUUUUUGGACUUAUGACAUUCAGAACUGUCCAUAAAGACAGAGAUGAGAAAGCAACAUACAUUCAGGAUAUAGACUUGGUCCAAGGAGCAGAAAGAUACUCAGGUAACAGAAUGGGAUAGAAUACAUAAAAGGGGUUGGGUUAACAAAAUAUUUAAGUUAUUUCCUCUAGCUAACAUAAAAUAUAACUUUUCUCUCUCUAUCAUAUGUUAACUAAGUGAAAUAAAGAACAUCUUAAAAUUAAUUUUUGUCGGGGCUCCUGGGUGGCUCA